rnacentral:lncRNA from 10 species
CGGCAACUGGGAAAUUAAGGCUUCCCCGGAUGGCUCCUGUCCCUUUAACUCCAAUCAGGUUACAGCCACCUCCACCAGGUUAGGGAUCUGUCAGCUACACCAUCCCACAGCCCACCGAACUUUUUCAAGAGAAGAUCGAGCCAUUUGCCCCUGAUACAUAGACACUUGUGGAAGGAAGAAGGGAGGAAGGAAAGAGGUCAAGAGACAAAGGGAAGAGAAGGAAGACAGCACUCUGCAUCUGUUCCAGUCUCUGGAGGAGCAAACAGCAGCAGUGAGCCCGGUCCAGGCUGCCCGUGUGGACGCGCACCAGUGAGCAGAGCCGGAAUCUUUCCAGGCCUCUCAUCUCAUUUGCACCCUGAUGUGCCCAUCCGCUGGAGGUGGCCCUACUAAGCGUCAGCUAUGCACCAGCCCCACAAUCAUGCUUUGACCUGUCAUUCAGUCUCCACCACAGCCUUACCACUUAGAUCACCUUCGGAUCACUCUACAGAAAAACGAGCCUCUGAGAGCUUAACUUGCCCAGAAUAUUUCUGGCCUCAUCCAAAUGUCAGUGUUUUUUGCUGUACACAGUUGAGUUGCCAGAUAAAACACAGAACCUUCAGUUAUAUAUGAAUUUCAGAUCAACAAUAAAUACUUUUUAGUAUAAGUAUGUUCUAAAUAUCACAUGGAACUUAUACUAAAAAUAAAAACAUCUCUAUUUCAUCAGAAAUUCAAGUUUAG